ensembl:rRNA nuclear encoded rRNA 5S 70
CUGGUCAGUCAGCCAUACCACCCUGACCGUGCUUGAUCUUGUCUGAUCUUGGAAGCUAAGCAGGGUUGAACCUGGUUAGUACUUGGGAGACAAUUGAGAUGACCCCAGGAAGGACCCAGA